UCUGCCUGCAGCUCUACAAAGGACACAAGGAUGUCCCCAUCCCAGCUCCUCUGCCUCCUGCUGCUCUGGGCUCAGGAGUCCAGGACAGCCAUUGUGCUGACCCAGACUCCAGCCUCCCUGUCUGUGGCUUUGGGAGAGAAAGUCACCAUCAGCUGCAGGGCCAGUGAGCACAUUAGCUAUUAUUUAGCCUGGUACCAGCAGCCUCCAGGAAAACCUCCCAAAUUUCUUGUCUAUGCUGGUGAUGAGCCAGAGUCUGGUGUCUCUGGCCGCUUCAGUAGCAGUGGGUCUGGAACAGAUUAUACUCUCACAAUCAGCAGUGUGGAGGCUGAAGAUGUUGGACAUUACUACUGUCAGGAAGGUUAUGAUUCUCCCACAGUGAUGGAGGCCUGA